GAAGUGGCACACUGCUCAGUAACACGUAGCUAACCUACCCUUAGGACGUGGAUACCCCCGAGAAAUUGGGGUUAAUCCGCGAUAGGUGUAAUGUCCUGGAAUGGUAUUACGCCUAAAGGUGUAUCAUACAUGUUUGAUAUACGCCUAAGGAUGGGGCUGCGGCCGAUCAGGCUGUUGGUGAGGUAAUGGCUCACCAAACCUUUGACCGGUACGGGCCAUGAGAGUGGUAGCCCGGAGAUGGACACUGAGACAAGGGUCCAGGCCCUAAGGGGCGCAGCAACCGCGAAACCUCCACAAUGCACUCACGUGCGAUGGGGCUAUCUCGAGUGCCACCUGAUGAAGGUGGCUUUUCCUAGGUCUUCAAAGCCUUGGGAAUAAGAGGGGGGCAAGACUGGUGUCAGCCGCCGCGGUAACACCAGCCCCUCGAGUGGUGGGGAUGAUUAUUUGGCCUAAAGCGUCCGUAGCCGGCCGAGCAAGUCUUCCGUUAAAUCCAGCGUCUCAAGCGUUGGACUGCGGGAGAUACUACACGGCUAGAGAGUGGGAGAGGUCAGCGGUAUUCUGGGGGUAGGGGCGAAAUCCUUUGAUCCCCGGAGGACCACCAGUGGCGAAGGCUGCUGACUAGAACACGUCUGACGGUCAGGGACGAAAGCUGGGGUAGCGAACCGGAUUAGAUACCCGGGUAGUCCCAGCCGUAAACGAUGCAUGCUAGGUGUUGGGUUGGCCACGAGCCACCCCAGUGCCGCAGGGAAGCCGUUAAGCAUGCCGCCUGGGAAGUACGAUCGCAAGAUUGAAACUUAAAGGAAUUGGCGGGGGAGCACCACCAGGCGUGAAGCCUGCGGUUUAAUUGGAGUCAACGCCGGA
rnacentral:rRNA from 1 species